UACGUAGGGUGCAAGCGUUGUCCGGAAUUAUUGGGCGUAAAGCGCACGUAGGCGGUUUGUUAAGUCGGAUGUGAAAUCCCUCGGCUCAACUGAGGAAGUGCAUCCGAAACUGGCAGGCUUGAGUACUAAAGAGGGUCGUGGAAUUCCCAGUGUAGAGGUGAAAUUCGUAGAUAUUGGGAAGAACACCGGUGGCGAAGGCGGCGACCUGGUCCGAUACUGACGCUGAGGCGCGAAAGCGUGGGGAGCAAACAGG
rnacentral:rRNA from 1 species